rnacentral:rRNA from 1 species
UACAGAGGGUGCGAGCGUUAAUCGGAAUUACUGGGCGUAAAGCGCGCGUAGGCGGCUUUUCAAGUCGAUUGUGAAAUCCCCGGGCUUAACCUGGGAACUGCAGUCGAGACUGUCUAGCUAGAGUAUGGGAGAGGGAAGUGGAAUUCAGGUGUAGCGGUGAAAUGCGUAGAGAUGUGGAGGAACACCGAUGGCGAAGGCAGCCUCCUGGGCUAGUACUGACGCUCAUGCACGAAAGCGUGGGGAGCAAACAGGAUUAGA